rnacentral:rRNA from 1 species
AAUCCACCUCUUAGUGGGGAAUAACUUUGGGAAACCGAAGCUAAUACCGCAUAAGCCUGAGAAGGGAAAGCUGGAAACGGCGCUGAGAGAGGAGUCCGCGGCCGAUUAGCUAGUUGGUAGGGUAAUGGCCUACCAAGGCGAUGAUCGGUAGCCGGCCUGAGAGGGCACACGGCCACACUGGCACUGAAACACGGGCCAGACUCCUACGGGAGGCAGCAGUGGGGAAUCUUGCACAAUGGGGGCAACCCUGAUGCAGCGACGCCGCGUGAAC